rnacentral:rRNA from 1 species
GAUCCUGGCUCAGGACGAACGCUGGCGGUGUGCCUAACACAUGCAAGUCGAACGGAACUUCUUUAAUUGAUUUCUUCGGAAUGAUUUUGAUUAAGUUUAGUGGCGGACGGGUGAGUAACGCGUGAGUAACCUGCCUCUAAGAGGGGAAUAACAUUCUGAAAAGAAUGCUAAUACCGCAUAAUAUAUAUUUAUCGCAUGGUAGAUAUAUCAAAGAUUUAUCGCUUAGAGAUGGACUCGCGUCCGA